rnacentral:sRNA from 1 species
UUUCAUCAUCUAUAGAAUGGCAGUAUAAACGUAAAGAUAUCUGGACUACCUUUAAACCUGUGAUUAACAGCGAGUUGGAAAAAGCCAAGAAGAGUAGCAUGUAUUUUGAAUAUACUGAGGAUUCUGGAACCAAAUAUAACUUUGAUUUGUUUGCUAUGAGAGUAGUUAUGCAUACAGGAAUAGGAAAAGCAACUUAUGAACUCAGACGUUAUGAUAAAAGAAAAGAAGGAGAACCAUUGCCCAAUCAUUGGAGUGCCAUGACAGAGACAGAAAAUUUGAAGUUAGUUGUGAUCAAACCAGGAACUCAAGAAU